rnacentral:rRNA from 1 species
UUAUCGGAGAGUUUGAUCCUGGCUCAGGACGAACGCUGGCGGCGUGCCUAAUACAUGCAAGUCGAGCGGACAGAUGGGAGCUUGCUCCCUGAUGUUAGCGGCGGACGGGUGAGUAACACGUGGGUAACCUGCCUGUAAGACUGGGAUAACUCCGGGAAACCGGGGCUAAUACCGGAUGGUUGUUUGAACCGCAUGGUUCAGACAUAAAAGGUGGCUUCGGCUACCACUUACAGAUGGACCCGCGGCGCAUUAGCUAGUUGGUGAGGUAACGGCUCACCAAGGCGACGAUGCGUAGCCGACCUGAGAGGGUGAUCGGCCACACUGGGACUGAGACACGGCCCAGACUCCUACGGGAGGCAGCAGUAGGGAAUCUUCCGCAAUGGACGAAAGUCUGACGGAGCAACGCCGCGUGAGUGAUGAAGGUUUUCGGAUCGUAAAGCUCUGUUGUUAGGGAAGAACAAGUGCCGUUCAAAUAGGGCGGCACCUUGACGGUACCUAACCAGAAAGCCACGGCUAACUACGUGCCAGCAGCCGCGGUAAUACGUAGGUGGCAAGCGUUGUCCGGAAUUAUUGGGCGUAAAGGGCUCGCAGGCGGUUUCUUAAGUCUGAUGUGAAAGCCCCCGGCUCAACCGGGGAGGGUCAUUGGAAACUGGGGAACUUGAGUGCAGAAGAGGAGAGUGGAAUUCCACGUGUAGCGGUGAAAUGCGUAGAGAUGUGGAGGAACACCAGUGGCGAAGGCGACUCUCUGGUCUGUAACUGACGCUGAGGAGCGAAAGCGUGGGGAGCGAACAGGAUUAGAUACCCUGGUAGUCCACGCCGUAAACGAUGAGUGCUAAGUGUUAGGGGGUUUCCGCCCCUUAGUGCUGCAGCUAACGCAUUAAGCACUCCGCCUGGGGAGUACGGUCGCAAGACUGAAACUCAAAGGAAUUGACGGGGGCCCGCACAAGCGGUGGAGCAUGUGGUUUAAUUCGAAGC